UGUGGAAAGGUGUAAUAUGCACGUAAGUUUUUGAUACUUAAGGUUAAAGUUUAAUUCUUUAAUUUACAA
rnacentral:tRNA from 1 species